CCUACGGGAGGCAGCAGUGGGGAAUUUUGGACAAUGGGCGAAAGCCUGAUCCAGCAAUGCCGCGUGCAGGAAGAAGGCCUUCGGGUUGUAAACUGCUUUUGUACGGAACGAAACGGUCUGCUUUAAUACAGUGGGCUAAUGACGGUACCGUAAGAAUAAGCACCGGCUAACUACGUGCCAGCAGCCGCGGUAAUACGUAGGGUGCGAGCGUUAAUCGGAAUUACUGGGCGUAAAGCGUGCGCAGGCGGUUAUAUAAGACAGUUGUGAAAUCCCCGGGCUCAACCUGGGAAUUGCAUCUGUGACUGUAUAGCUAGAGUACGGUAGAGGGGGAUGGAAUUCCGCGUGUAGCAGUGAAAUGCGUAGAUAUGCGGAGGAACACCGAUGGCGAAGGCAAUCCCCUGGACCUGUACUGACGCUCAUGCACGAAAGCGUGGGGAGCAAACAGGAUUAGAUACCCUGGUAGUCCACGCCCUAAACGAUGUCAACUGGUUGUUGGGUGCAUUAGUACUCAGUAACGAAGCUAACGCGUGAAGUUGACCGCCUGGGGAGUACGGCCGCAAGGUUGAAACUUCAAAGGAAUUGACGG
rnacentral:rRNA from 1 species